rnacentral:rRNA from 1 species
AGAGACCAACAGGGAUUGCCCUAGUAACGGCGAGUGAAGCGGCAACAGCUCAAAUUUGAAAUCUGGCUCUUUCAGGGUCCGAGUUGUAAUUUGCAGAGGGCGCUUUGGCGUUGGCAGCGGUCCAAGUUCUUUGGAACAGGACGUCACAGAGGGUGAGAAUCCCGUACGUGGUCGCUAGCCUUCGCUGUGUAAAGCCCCUUCGACGAGUCGAGUUGUUUGGGAAUGCAGCUCUAAAUGGGAGGUAAAUUUCUUCUAAAGCUAAAUACUGGCCAGAGACCGAUAGCGCACAAGUAGAGUGAUCGAAAGAUGAAAAGCACUUUGGAAAGAGAGUCAAAUAGCACGUGAAAUUGUUGAAAGGGAAGCGCUUGCAGCCAGACUUGCCUGUAGUUGCUUAUCCGGACUUUUGUCCGGUGCACUCUUCUGCGGGCAGGCCAGCAUCAGUUUAGGCGGUUGGAUAAAGGUCUCUGUCAUGUACCUCUCUUCGGGGAGGCCUUAUAGGGGAGACGACAUGCAACCAGCCUGGACUGAGGUCCGCGCAUCUGCUAGGAUGCUGGCGUAAUGGCUGUAAGCGGCCCGUCUUGAAACACGGACCAAGGAGUCUAACAUCUAUGCGAGUGUUUGGGUGUCAAGCCCAGACGCGUAAUGAAAGUGAACGGAGGUGGGAACCCUUUGGGUGCACCAUCGACCGAUCCUGAUGUCUUCGGAUGGAUUUGAGUAAGAGCAUGGCUGUUGGGACCCGAAAGAUGGUGAACUAUGCUUGAAUAGGGUGAAGCCAGAGGAAACUCUGGUGGAGGCUCGCAGCGGUUCUGACGUGCAAAUCGAUCGUCAAAUUUGGGCAUAGGGGCG